rnacentral:rRNA from 1 species
ACGCACCUUUCGGGGUGAGUGGCGGACGGGUGAGUAACGCGUGAGAAUCUGCCUUUUGGUCGGGGACAACCACUGGAAACGGUGGCUAGUACCGGAUGUGCCUACGGGUAAAAGAUUUAUUGCCAGAAGAAGAGCUCGCGUCUGAUUAGCUAGUUGGUAGGGUAAAAGCCUACCAAGGCAUCGAUCAGUAGCUGGUCUGAGAGGAUGACCAGCCACACUGGGACUGAGACACGGCCCAGACUCCUACGGGAGGCAGCAGUGGGGAAUUUUCCGCAAUGGGCGAAAGCCUGACGGAGCAAGACCGCGUGAGGGAGGAAGGCUCUUGGGUUGUAAACCUCUUUUGUCAGGGAAGAAGAAAGUGACGGUACCUGACGAAUCAGCAUCGGCUAACUCCGUGCCAGCAGCCGCGGUAAUACGGAGGAUGCAAGCGUUAUCCGGAAUUAUUGGGCGUAAAGCGUCCGCAGGUGGCACUUCAAGUCUGUCGUCAAAGACCGGGGCUUAACCCUGGAAAGGCGAUGGAAACUGAAAGGCUAGAGAGAGGUAGGGGUAGAGGGAAUUCCCAGUGUAGCGGUGAAAUGCGUAGAGAUUGGGAAGAACAUCGGUGGCGAAAGCGCUCUACUGGACCUCAUCUGACACUCAGGGACGAAAGCUAGGGGAGCGAAUGGGAUUAGAUACCCCAGUAGUCCUAGCCGUA